rnacentral:rRNA from 1 species
UGGGGAAUAUUGCACAAUGGGCGAAAGCCUGAUGCAGCAACGCCGCGUGAGUGAUGAAGGCCUUCGGGUUGUAAAGCACUUUUGUCCGGAAAGAAAUCCUUGGCUCUAAUACAGUCGGGGGAUGACGGUACCGGAAGAAUAAGCACCGGCUAACUACGUGCCAGCAGCCGCGGUAAUACGUAGGUGCAAGCGUUAAUCGGAAUUACUGGGCGUAAAGCGUGCGCAGGCGGUUUGCUAAGACCGAUGUGAAAUCCCCGGGCUCAACCUGGGAACUGCAUUGGUGACUGGCAGGCUAGAGUAUGGCAGAGGGGGGUAGAAUUCCACGUGUAGCAGUGAAAUGCGUAGAGAUGUGGAGGAAUACCGAUGG